rnacentral:rRNA from 1 species
UACGUAGGUGCGAGCGUUGUCCGGAAUUAUUGGGCGUAAAGAGCUCGUAGGCGGUGUGUCACGUCGGCCGUGAAAACCUGCAGCUUAACUGUGGGCGUGCGGUCGAUACGGGGCAUCACUGGAGUUCGGCAGGGGAGACUGGAAUUCCUGGUGUAGCGGUGAAAUGCGCAGAUAUCAGGAGGAACACCGGUGGCGAAGGCGGGUCUCUGGGCCGAUACUGACGCUGAGGAGCGAAAGCGUGGGGAGCGAACAGG